AGUGAACGCUGGCGGUAGGCCUAACACAUGCAAGUCGAACGGCAGCACAGUAAGAGCUUGCUCUUACGGGUGGCGAGUGGCGGACGGGUGAGGAAUACAUCGGAAUCUACUUUUUCGUGGGGGAUAACGUAGGGAAACUUACGCUAAUACCGCAUACGACCUACGGGUGAAAGCAGGGGAUCUUCGGACCUUGCGCGAUUGAAUGAGCCGAUGUCGGGUUAGCUAGUUGGCGGGGUAAAGGCCCACCAAGGCGAAGAUCCGUAGCUGGUCUGAGAGGAUGAUCGGCCACACUGGAACUGGGACACGGUCCAGACUCCUAAGGGAGGCAGCAGUGGGGAAUAUUGGACAAUGGGCGCAAGCCUGAUCCAGCCAUACCGCGUGGGUGAAGAAGGCCUUCGGGUUGUAAAGCCCUUUUGUUGGGAAAGAAAAUCAGCAGGUUAAUACCCCGCUGCUCUGACGGUACCCAAAGAAUAAGCACCGGCUAACUUCGUG
rnacentral:rRNA from 1 species